rnacentral:tRNA from 2 species
GCGCGAGUGGUGAAAUUGGUAUACACGCCAGAUUUAGGUUCUGGUGUCUUCGGACGUGCGGGUUCAAGUCCCGCCUCGCGCA